AUGCACUUUCUUCCCCGUCUUCCACUCUUCUUCCUCCUCUCUUCUUCUUCCUCCUCUGUUCUUCUUCCUCCUCUAUUCCCCAUCGUCGGCUGCACACCAUUUACCCCCGCUCACUGCUCACCCGCCCGCGCCAUCUUCCUUGCAGACACAAAUGCGCUGGCCUUCAUGAUCCCAGGACCUGGAAUCAUACCAGCCGAUGGGUCGAAGAAGGAUUGGCCGGUGCUGCCGGCUGGCGUCAAGUCCGAUCCCACGGAUCAGGAGCUGAUCGAGCACCUUGAGGCCAAAGUGAGUGCUGACAGCGCGAGAUUUCAGUCUCUCAUCGAUUUGUUCAUACCAACCAUCGACAGCGAGCACGGCAUAUGCUACACCCAAGCUGAGAAACUUCCAGGUAUCACACUGAGUGGCCUAAGGAAGCAUUUCUUCCAGCGCAAUUCCAGGGCAUUCAAAAGGGGCACGUGGACGCGUCGCAAGAUACAGUCGGAGUGCGGCAUGCAAGCGAUGUGGCACAAGACCGACAAUACCUUGCCGGUGAUGGUCAACGGCCGGCAAGACGGGCAGCAAAAAUGGUUCUGGUGCUGCACACCAACAAGAACUUCGACCAGCAGAGGACCAACUGGGUGA
rnacentral:rRNA from 1 species